UUUGGAUGGGUUAAAUGCAGAGCACAAAUUCUGAGUAUGGGUCAUCAUACUUGGCUGUAUGUCAUGUCACUUUCACUUUCACUUUCAGUCUUCCAGAAUGGCCCAUACUGGUUCUUUUAUUGGCUUGUCUGUGUCUGUUUCAUAUUUCAUCUGCUCUGAUCUCCCGACACACACUGUGAAGUGAGGCUUCUAUCUUAUAGUUGCAAAGUUAUUGUGAUUAUCGUGAUCAGUAACAAGUGUGAUAACACUAGAGAGAGAGAGAGAGAGAAUAAAAAGGAUCUCCUUUCGAUUUAGUGACAUGUUGUAUCUCAAGACAUCAGCAGAUGGCGCUACAAUGUAGUGGCUAUUUGAUUGAUAAAAAUCAUUGCAACUGUUAUUUUGUAUAACGAAAUGCAGUAAAGUUAACAUUUUUAAAAAACAUUACUUUGCAUUUAGGUGUCUCAAAGCUAAAAAAAAUAUAUAUUUGGUCUGAAAAGAUUAUGUUGUGCUUAAUUUGAAACACAAUCUGUCAUUUUGAAGAGCCUGAAGAGAACUGAAGGAGUUCGUCAAAGGGAGGGUCGCGUUCCUCCACAGCGAGCGAGCGUGUAGCAAAUUCUCAAGGAAGAGUUUCCCAAACUUCUUUCAGUCUCCGGCAAUAAUAUGGACGGUCUUAAAUGGAAACAUGCAUAUCUGGCUCAACUUCAUUUAUGGCACAGAAGAUGAAAAUGUUUCUGAAAUGACAGCUCGUUCUUUCCAUUAGUGAAAUCAACAUGGGAAAACUGCAAUCGAAACCUGCAUGUAAACGGAGAGAAAAUCCUGAGGAUGUUUUCAAGGAGGCUGACUGUACUGGCGAAGUGGACAGAAACAAGCAGGUUUCUGUCAGACUGCAAGUUCUGCUUUCAGCAGCUUGAUGCCGAGAGAUUGGUUUAUGGUUGCACAUUUGGAUGUGCCUGCUUGCAAAAGAUGAAAUUUAGUAGAUGGAAAAAAAUAUAUAUAUAUAUGUGCCAGUAUUUAAUUUCAUUUCUUGGAUAAAUAUAUAUGAAAAAAUAUUCAGUUAAAUUAAAAAAAAAAAACAAAAACAAAAUAUUAUACAUCUUAUAUUUUACAACAGAAAAUGUAGCACAAAACUGUCAAAUGUACAUUAAUAAUAAAAUGAGAAGAAAAAAGUAUUUUUAGAAAAUAUAAUUAUAUGUUUUGUGCCAUGAAGGGGCUUCUGGGAUAGCCUUUUACUGUUUUUAAUCUAAACUGUAUGGUUGCAAAACCAUACAUUUAGAAGUAUUUUACUGUAAAAUUAUGCUAAACGAUUUUUCACAGUAUAUGGUAACUUAAAGUUAACCAAAUAACAGGGUUUUACUGCAGCAUUUUUAGUUUUUUUUCUGUAAAAAUUGCAAAUGUUUUACAGUGUAUAUAGGUCUGUAUUGUUUUCUUUAAUUGUUCAUGUUCAUAGCAACUAUUUUUACAUUUGCUGU